CACGUAGGGCGCAAGCGUUGUCCGGAAUUAUUGGGCGUAAAGAGCUCGUAGGCGGUCUGUUGCGUCCGCUGUGAAAACUCGGGGCUUAACCCCGAGCCUGCAGUGGAUACGGGCAGACUAGAGGUAGGUAGGGGAGAAUGGAAUUCCCGGUGUAGCGGUGAAAUGCGCAGAUAUCGGGAGGAACACCGGUGGCGAAGGCAGAUCUCUGGGCCGUAACUGACGCUGAGACGCGAAAGCGUGGGGAGCAAACAGG
rnacentral:rRNA from 1 species